GAUGAACGCUAGCGGCAGGCUUAAUACAUGCAAGUCGUACGGCAGCACAGUGUAGCAAUACAUGGGUGGCGAGUGGCGCACGGGUGCGUAACACGUACACAAUUUGCCUUUAACUGGGGCACAACCCCGAGAAAUCGGGGCUAAUUCCCCAUAACAUUUCGGGAGGGCAUCCUCUUGAAAUUAAAGAUUCUUCGGUUAGCGCUGAGUGUGCGUCCCAUUAGAUAGUUGGUGAGGUAACGGCUCACCAAGUCAACGAUGGGUAACUGGUGGGAGAGCACGACCAGACACACGGGCACCGAGACACGGGCCCGAAUCCUACGGGAGGGAGCAGUAGGGAAUAUUGGACAAUGGACAAAAGUCUGAUCCAGCCAGGCCGCGUGCAGGAUGAAAGCGCUAUGCGUUUUAAACUGCUUUUAUCAGGGAAGAAAUCCCCGCAUUCUUGCGAGGUUGACGGUACCUGAUGAAUAAGCACCGGCUAACUACGUGCCAGCAGCCGCCGUAACAC
rnacentral:rRNA from 1 species